rnacentral:rRNA from 1 species
CCUACGGGUGGCUGCAGUGGGGAAUAUUGGACAAUGGGCGAAAGCCUGAUCCAGCCAUGCCGCGUGUGUGAAGAAGGCCUUCGGGUUGUAAAGCACUUUCAGUGGCGAAGAAAGCCUUGGGGCUAAUACCCUCGAGGAAGGACAUCACCCACAGAAGAAGCACCGGCUAACUCCGUGCCAGCAGCCGCGGUAAUACGGAGGGUGCGAGCGUUAAUCGGAAUUACUGGGCGUAAAGCGCGCGUAGGCGGUCUGAUAAGCCGGUUGUGAAAGCCCCGGGCUCAACCUGGGAACGGCAUCCGGAACUGUCAGGCUAGAGUGCAGGAGAGGAAGGUAGAAUUCCCGGUGUAGCGGUGAAAUGCGUAGAGAUCGGGAGGAAUACCAGUGGCGAAGGCGGCCUUCUGGACUGACACUGACGCUGAGGUGCGAAAGCGUGGGUAGCAAACAGGAUUAGAUACCCUGGUAGUC